rnacentral:rRNA from 2 species
AAGGCAGCAGGCACGCAAAUUACCCACUCCCGGCACGGGGAGGUAGUGACAAAAAAUAACGAUACGGGACUCAUCCGAGGCCCCGUAAUCGGAAUGAGUACACUUUAAAUCCUUUAACAAGGAUCCAAUGGAGGGCAAGUCUGGUGCCAGCAGCCGCGGUAAUUCCAGCUCCAUUAGCGUAUAUUAAAGUUGUUGCGGUUAAAAAGCUCGUAGUUGGUUCUGCGUCCCACGAUGCUGGUUCACCGCCUGACGGUGCAACUGGCAUGCCGUGGGAUGUCCUGUCGGUGGCGGCCCUGGCCCACGGCGCGUGUAGGUCUACACCGAAGCGCGUCGUGUGUCGCCAAGGAUCGCCGAUCCAAUCCUGCCUCGGUGCUUUUCACCGAGUGUCGAGGUGGGCCGACACGUUUACUUUGAACAAAUUAGAGUGCUCAAAGCAGGCUAAUUAUGCCUGGAUAUUGGUGCAUGGAAUAAUGGAAUAGGACCUCGGUUCUAUUUUGUUGGUUUUCGGAAUCCGAGGUAAUGAUCAAUAUGGACAGGCGGGGGCAUUCGUAUUGCGACGUUAGAGGUGAAAUUCUUGGAUCGUCGCAAGACGGACUAGAGCGAAAGCAUUUGCCAAGUAUGUCUUAGUUGAUCAAGAACGAAAGUUAGAGGUUCGAAGGCGAUCAGAUACCGCCCUAGUUCUAACCAUAAACGAUGCCAGCCAGCGAUCCGCCGAUGUUCCUCCGAUGACUCGG